rnacentral:rRNA from 1 species
AUUGAGCGCUGGCGGCAGGCCUAACACAUGCAAGUCGAACGGUAACAGGAAGAAGCUUGCUUCUUUGCUGACGAGUGGCGGACGGGUGAGUAAUGUCUGGGAAACUGCCUGAUGGAGGGGGAUAACUACUGGAAACGGUAGCUAAUACCGCAUAACGUCGCAAGCCCAAAGAGGGGGACCUUCGGGCCUCUUGCCAUCGAAUGUGCCCAGAUGGGAUUAGCUAGUAGGUGGGGUAACGGCUCACCUAGGCGACGAUCCCUAGCUGGCCUGAGAGGAUGACCAGCCACACUGGAACUGAGACACGGUCCAGACUCCUACGGGAGGCAGCAGUGGGGAAUAUUGCGCAAUGGGCGCAAGCCUGAUGCAGCCAUGCCGCGUGUAUGAAGAAGGCCUUCGGGUUGUAAAGUACUUUCAGCGGGGAGGAAGGGAGUAAAGUUAAUACCUUUGCCCAUUGACGUUACCCGCAGAAGAAGCACCGGCUAACUACGUG